AACGCUAGCUACAGGCUUAACACAUGCAAGUCGAGGGGCAUCAGGAAGAAAGCUUGCUUUCUUUGCUGGCGACCGGCGCACGGGUGAGUAACACGUAUCCAACCUGCCCUUUACUCGGGGAUAGCCUUUCGAAAGAAAGAUUAAUACCCGAUAGCAUAAUGAUUCCGCAUGGUUUCAUUAUUAAAGGAUUCCGGUAAAGGAUGGGGAUGCGUUCCAUUAGGUUGUUGGUGAGGUAACGGCCCACCAAGCCUUCGAUGGAUAGGGGUUCUGAGAGGAAGGUCCCCCACAUUGGAACUGAGACACGGUCCAAACUCCUACGGGAGGCAGCAGUGAGGAAUAUUGGUCAAUGGGCGCUAGCCUGAACCAGCCAAGUAGCGUGAAGGAUGAAGGCUCUAUGGGUCGUAAACUUCUUUUAUAUAAGAAUAAAGUGCAGUAUGUAUACUGUUUUGUAUGUAUUAUAUGAAUAAGGAUCGGCUAACUCCGUGCCAGCAGCCGCGGUAAUACGGAGGAUCCGAGCGUUAUCCGGAUUUAUUGGGUUUAAAGGGAGCGUAGGUGGACUGGUAAGUCAGUUGUGAAAGUUUGCGGCUCAACCGUAAAAUUGCAGUUGAUACUGUCAGUCUUGAGUACAGUAGAGGUGGGCGGAAUUCGUGGUGUAGCGGUGAAAUGCUUAGAUAUCACGAAGAACUCCGAUUGCGAAGGCAGCUCACUGGACUGCAACUGACACUGAUGCUCGAAAGUGUGGGUAUCAAACAGGAUUAGAUACCCUGGUAGUCCACACAGUAAACGAUGAAUACUCGCUGUUUGCGAUAUACAGUAAGCGGCCAAGCGAAAGCAUUAAGUAUUCCACCUGGGGAGUACGCCGGCAACGGUGAAACUCAAAGGAAUUGACGGGGGCCCGCACAAGCGGAGGAACAUGUGGUUUAAUUCGAUGAUACGCGAGGAACCUUACCCGGGCUUAAAUUGCAGUGGAAUGAUGUGGAAACAUGUCAGUGAGCAAUCACCGCUGUGAAGGUGCUGCAUGGUUGUCGUCAGCUCGUGCCGUGAGGUGUCGGCUUAAGUGCCAUAACGAGCGCAACCCUUAUCUUUAGUUACUAACAGGUUAUGCUGAGGACUCUAGAGAGACUGCCGUCGUAAGAUGUGAGGAAGGUGGGGAUGACGUCAAAUCAGCACGGCCCUUACGUCCGGGGCUACACACGUGUUACAAUGGGGGGUACAGAAGGCAGCUAGCGGGUGACCGUAUGCUAAUCCCAAAAUCCUCUCUCAGUUCGGAUCGAAGUCUGCAACCCGACUUCGUGAAGCUGGAUUCGCUAGUAAUCGCGCAUCAGCCACGGCGCGGUGAAUACGUUCCCGGGCCUUGUACACACCGCCCGUCAAGCCAUGGGAGCCGGGGGUACCUGAAGUACGUAACCGCAAGGAUCGUCCUAGGGUAAAACUGGUGAAA
rnacentral:rRNA from 1 species